ensembl:misc_RNA 7SK 7SK RNA
GGACACGAGGGCGAUCUGGCUGCGACAUCUGACACCUCAUUGAUCACCAGGGUUGAUUCAGCUCAUCUGGCUGGCUAGGAGGGUGUCCCCUUCCUCCCUCACCACUCCAUGUGUGUUCCUCCUGAAGCUGCGCACUGGGUCUAAAAGGACGGCCUUCCCCGAAUAGAGACCAACCAGCCUUGGGUCAAGGGUAUAGAGUGGCUGUGGUCCCCUGCAAGAACUUCCAGACAAGCUCUCAUUCAUGCAAUGACAAUAUUCUAUAUAGAAAAAAGUAAAUAGAGGCGACUUGGUUCAAUUAUUUCAUUUUUAAAUGGGGAAAUAGCUUGGAG